UCUUUGGUCCCAUUUAGAGGAAGUAAAAGUCGUAACAAGGUCUCCGUUGGUGAACCAGCGGAGGGAUCAUUACCGAGUGUAACAACUCCCAAACCCCCUGUGAACUUAUACCUGUACGUUGCUUCGGCGGGUCUUUUCGCCCCGGGUCGCGCCCUGUCCUCCCUCUCCCCCCGGGGAGAUGGGGGGUUGGGAGCGCCCGGAACCAGGCGCCCGCCGGGGAACCCCAAACCUCUGUAUGUUCCUUCGCGGCCCCCCCGUGGGCUGCGCACGUCUGAGUGAGCGGUGCGCACGCACCAGAAAAUGAAUCAAAACUUUCAACAACGGAUCUCUUGGUUCUGGCAUCGAUGAAGAACGCAGCGAAAUGCGAUAAGUAAUGUGAAUUGCAGAAUUCAGUGAAUCAUCGAAUCUUUGAACGCACAUUGCGCCCGCCAGCACUCUGGCGGGCAUGCCUGUUCGAGCGUCAUUUCCACCCCUCGAGCGCCCUGGCGCGCUCGGUGUUGGGGACCGGCCCCCCCGUGGCCGCCCCCGAAAUGCAUCGGCGGCCGCGUCCUGGACGCCCCCUGCGCAGUACACACACGCUCGCACCGGGAGCCAGGCGCGGCCACUGCCGUAAAACGCCCUAACUUCUCAAGAGUUGACCUCGAAUCAGGUAGGGAUACCCGCUGAACUUAAGCAUAUCAAUAAGCGGAGGA
rnacentral:rRNA from 1 species